rnacentral:misc_RNA from 1 species
GAUUGACCGAAAGGUCGUGUCUUCAUCCACACACACCGUGAACCGUUUUGGAGCGCUCAGGCGUUCCGGACAAACACCAAAACAAAACGUAAAGAAUGUAAUAUAUCGUAAACAAAACAAAACUUUCAACAACGGAUCUCUUGGCUCU